GCGCCGCUAGCUCAAUUGGCAGAGCAGCGGACUCUUAAUCCGCGGGUUCGGGGUUCAAGUCCCUGGCGGCGCACC
rnacentral:tRNA from 1 species